UAAUUAAAUGAGUUAUCCAGGGUCACAGCUAGCAAGCAUCUGACACCAGAAGCCCUGGGCCACCUAGCUGCCUCAAUAAUUUACUUUACUAUCUUGGUUGUUUUGUGAUGAGUCUGAAUCUGGAAUUUCAUCAGAAUUGGGAGCCCUGUUGAGGAAAUAUGACUAAAAUCAACCAGUAACUAUCCUUAGAAGCUAAAUGGACUGCAUUGGCUCAUA
rnacentral:lncRNA from 1 species